CACGUAGUUAGCCGUGGCUUUCUGGUUAGGUACCGUCAAGGUACAAGCAGUUACUCUUGCACUUGUUCUUCCCUAACAACAGAGCUUUACGAUCCGAAAACCUUCAUCACUCACGCGGCGUUGCUCCGUCAGACUUUCGUCCAUUGCGGAAGAUUCCCUA
rnacentral:rRNA from 1 species